rnacentral:rRNA from 1 species
UACGUAGGGGGCAAGCGUUGUCCGGAUUUAUUGGGCGUAAAGAGCUCGUAGGCGGUUUGUCGCGUCUGCUGUGAAAACUGGAGGCUCAACCUCCAGCCUGCAGUGGGUACGGGCAGACUAGAGUGCGGUAGGGGAGAUUGGAAUUCCUGGUGGUAGCGGUGGAAUGCGCAGGAUAAUCAGGAGGAACACCGAUGGCGAAGGGCAGAUCUCUGGGCCGUAACUGACGCUGAGGAGCGAAAGCAUGGGGGAGCGAACAGGG